GCAAAAGGAAUUAUUCCUGGAUGAGAACUCUGAGGGCUGCCUGCCACAGGCAGGUUUCCUCCAUCCCUUAAUGUCACUCAGUCCUUGGAUGUCAAAGUGAUUCCUGAUGUUCUGCAGGUGACUUUAAUAAUUCACUGCCCUGCAUGGCCCCAGCAAUGGAACAGGUACCUCUGUGUCUGCAAGCUCUGCCUGUGCUGGUUUUGAACACAUGAGUGUUGUCCUAAUUGCAGCUUUCAUUGCAGACAAGCUGCAGAAGAAUGCAUAAACAUCAUCCCAAAAACAGCCAUCAUUUAAUGCCUGAAGUCUGCUCCAGGUGCCUGAAACAAAGAAUCUGCAGCUGGGAGGAGGAGAAGGGGGGCAGGAAGGGACACUCGGAUCUGGAACUCAUCUCCUGUCUGCAAUAUGUGAGUCCAACAACAGGGGAGGCCCUGGGGACACUCUGAGUCACCCCAUGGGGAAACCCACAGAGAUUUCCUGCAAAGAGCAGGAAAUUGGUUUAACAGGCAAUCUUGUUCUUAGGUAUUGCUAUUCAAGCCAGUGCUCCCACCAGACACUUGGGAAGAAACAGAAACAGGCUCAUCCCCAUGUGCUUCAGCCAUGCUCCUCCCAGCUGAGCUGUGCUUUCACUUUCAGCCCUGCAGGAGCUGGUGAAGCACCACUUGCCUGCUUGCAGAACUGUUCUCACUCCAUCCCUUUCCAAGCUGGGCUGUCUCACAGCCCUAAUGAGGAGGUAAGGGAUAAUCAAGUCUCAUGUCCCACUUGAGAGCAGGAGCUGGAAUCCAGACCCAGUGAGAUUUGGGAAUCCCACCCUCCAAGCAGGCAGCUGCUGCUUUGUUCCCUGCCCUGGGCAAUGCCCUGCCAGGACCACAGGCAGAGCACUGAGGUCUGAGUUGUGGCUGAUUUAAGGUUACACUGCAGAGACCCAAACUCUCCAUCCUGCCCUGUCCUACCAGCCCUUUGCCUCAGCCCAUCACGCAGAUGUUGUUUCUCCAGGCUGGUAUUUUCCCUUCCCCACAGCAACACCUGCAGCACCAACCCCAGGCUUUUCCAGAAGGGCCCUGACAUCACAAUAACUGCAACAGUGCAGGGAGCCCUGACUCUGCCCAUCACAGUCACACUGCACACAGGUGAGAGCUCCUCUGGGCCCACACAAACUCCUCAGCCUAAGCCAGGCAGGGCUCCCACCAAGUCCCACAUUUUAUUUCCUUUCUACCAGAGACAAGACAAUCCAGCACAGGCACUGUGUGAAUUUCAGGGUCACAACAGAGCAAAUAAAACCCUGGAUUAGACAAACCUGGGUGAAGAGUUGAGCAGCACAUCUUCCCGUGGCACCUCGCCGUUCCCUUGAAGAGCUGAGUUGCAAUAAACCACGGAGACUGGUUCUGCAAGUGCCAUCCUCGCCUCUGACUCACACAGCACUGUCCCUGCAAAAACAGGCUUGGAAAUUUAAAAUAUAUCCAAACGUCACAGCAAAGCUCCACUGACGUGAGCGAGGCAACCCCAAAGAGGCACAACUCGAGCCUGCUGCAUCUGCACGAAACACAGGAAAUUCUGACAGCUCAAACCCCACGGCAAAACCAGCGUGACACCCACAGCUCCCCCAGAGCACCACGAACCAAACAACUUCAAUUCCAGGCUCCCUUUGCCCCAAACGCUGCCCCCGCCGAGCCCUGCAGCCUCACCACGCAUCGCCCGUCCCGCAGCCUCCCCUCUGCAGCCGGCGCCGAGCCCGACGUGUAAGAUCCUUUAUUUUUAAACUAGCGCCCAGGAGGCAGAUCUGGAGCAUCUUAUGUCAUGUGCUGCUGCCUCGCAAUUGGAAGCGGCUCGUCACCCCACACCGCCGCCUCUCUUAAGGAGGCUCCGGCCCCACGCCUGCCCCCAGCCCCGCUCCCCGGGGAUCCCGGCUGCCUCUGGGGGGACACAGCCCUGGGACACCUCUGUUUAAUCUCUUUGAAUCAAAAUUAUGUUGUUUGUUCUUUGGUGGCUCCCACGUUGCUUUCACCGCCGUUUUUUAAACGCUAAUUUUAUUUAAGGUUUACAUUCAUCCAAAAAAUCUUUGAUUCUUCUAAGUCGCCAGGCUGAGCUUUAAUUGUUUCAAGGGAUUUCAAGCUGAUUGGAGAUGAACCCCAUUAUCCUUGAUCCAUCUAAGAAGUGGAUUUUAAGCUGCUAUUUCGUACUCUCAUUACACAGGCACAUUUUAAUCGCGUGAUGCGGGGGGCGUGCUCAUCUCGAUGAGGGACAGGAGUGAAAGAAUCUUUUUUAUGUCAUAAAUCCGAGACAGCACGCCUCCAGCCCCAGCCGGGAGGGGAAAGGCUCGGCAGGUACAGCUCAGGGACGGCCCCUUUCCUUCCCACUCACUCAUCUGCGCCACGACACGUCGCUGCUCACGCCACGCGAGUCACCACGCCAGGAAUAGUUCCAUUGACGGGCAGCGGGAGGGGGAUGGACGGC